rnacentral:rRNA from 1 species
GACGGGGGGGGCAAGUGUUCUUCGGAAUUAUUGGGCGUAAAGGGCGCGUAGGCGGUGCGGUAAGUCUGUAGUGAAAUCUCUGGGCUCAACUCAGAGUCUGCUGCAGAAACUGCCGUGCUUGAGUGUGGGAGAGGUGAGUGGAAUUCCCGGUGUAGUGGUGAAAUGCGUAGAUAUCGGGAGGAACACCAGUGGCGCAAGCGGCUAACUGGCCGAGACCUGACGCUGAGACGCGACGGCGUGGGGAGCAAACCGG